ACGAUCUUACUUGAAUAUGAUCUGUUCUAUAGGCUCGUACAACUAUAUUCUUGAGUGUAAAGGAGAUAGACAACCCACUCUGUUUGAUGAUGUAAGAUCUCGAGAUCAGAGCAUGAUUAACGAUUCUGGUCCCUUGGGAUUCUUAGCUGUAGAGGAUUGUUCCCAGCAAAUCAACGCUUUGCUAGGCUGGUCUCGAGAUUGUCUCACAGACA